rnacentral:rRNA from 1 species
UACGUAGGGUGCGAGCGUUAAUCGGAAUUACUGGGCGUAAAGCGUGCGUAGGCGGUUGUCUAAGUCUGGUGUGAAAUCUCCCGGCUCAACUGGGAGGGUGCGCCGGAAACUGGAUGACUGGAGUGCCGGAGAGGUAAGCGGAAUUCCUGGUGUAGCGGUGAAAUGCGUAGAGAUCAGGAGGAACACCUGUGGUGUAGACAGCUUACUGGACGGUGACUGACGCUGAGGCACGAAAGCGUGGGUAGCAAACAGG